rnacentral:rRNA from 1 species
AGCAGCCGCGGUAAUUCCAGCUCCAAUAUCUUAUAUUAAAGUUGUUGCAGUUAAAAAGCUCGUAGUUGAAUUUCGGGAUCAAUAUAUCGGUCGUGCUUCAGUAUGUACUGGUAUUAUUGAUUUCUCCCUUCUGACGAACUAUGAUGUCAUUAAUUUGGUGUUAUGGGGAAUCAGGACUGUUACUUUGAAAAAAUUAGAGUGUUUAAAGCAGGCACACGCUUGAAUACAUUAGCAUGGAAUAAUGAAAUAGGACGUUUGAUCUUAUUUUGUUGGUUUCUAGGAUCGACGUAAUGAUUAAUAGGGAUAGUUGGG